rnacentral:rRNA from 1 species
GAUGAACGCUGGCGGCGUGCCUAAUACAUGCAAGUCGAACGGUAAGGCCCUUCGGGGUACACGAGUGGCGAACGGGUGAGUAACGCGUGGGUGAUCUGCCCUGCACUUCGGGAUAAGCCUGGGAAACUGGGUCUAAUACCGGAUAGGACCACUGCCUGCAUGGGUGGUGGUGGAAAGCUUUUGCGGUGUGGGAUGGGCCCGCGGCCUAUCAGCUUGUUGGUGGGGUGAUGGCCUACCAAGGCGACGACGGGUAGCCGGCCUGAGAGGGUGACCGGCCACACUGGGACUGAGAUACGGCCCAGACUCCUACGGGAGGCAGCAGUGGGGAAUAUUGCACAAUGGGCGCAAGCCUGAUGCAGCGACGCCGCGUGAGGGAUGACGGCCUUCGGGUUGUAAACCUCUUUCAGCACCGACGAAGCGCAAGUGACGGUAGGUGCAGAAGAAGGACCGGCCAACUACGUGCCAGCAGCCGCGGUAA